UUUGGUGGCGAUGGCGGAGGGGUUCCACGCGUACCCAUCCCGAACACGACCGUUAAGCCCUCCAGCGCCGAUGGUACUUGGACCGAAGGGUCCUGGGAGAGUAGGAUGCUGCCAAGC
rnacentral:rRNA from 1 species